UAGUCCACCCCGGUGAUGUACUUCCCCC
rnacentral:piRNA from 1 species